rnacentral:rRNA from 1 species
GACUACCAGGGUAUCUAAGCCUGUUUGCUACCCACGCUUUCGUGCAUCAGCGUCAAUGACAGACCAGUAAGCCGCCUUCGCCACUGGUGUUCCUCCAUAUAUCUAAGCAUUUUACCGCUACACAUGGAAUUCCACUUACCUCUUCUGUAUUCAAGCCUAUCAGUUUCCAAUGACCCUUCACGGUUAAGCCGUGACAUUUUACACCAGACUUAAUAGGCCGCCUACGCACCCUUUACGCCCAAUAAUUCCGGAUAACGCUUGCCCCCUAUGUAUUACCGCGGCUGCUGGCACAUAGUUAGCCGGGGCUUCCUCAUAAAGUACCGUCAAAUAUAUAGCAUUUCCUCUAUAUAUCUUUCUUCCUCUAUAACAGAACUUUACAAUCCGAAGACCUUCAUCGUUCACGCGGCAUUGCUCGGUCAGGCUUUCGCCCAUUGCCGAAAAUUCCCCACUGCAGCCUCCCGUAGG